rnacentral:rRNA from 1 species
GAUGAACGCUGGCGGCGUGCCUAAUACAUGCAAGUAGAACGCUGAAGGAGGAUCUUGCUCUUCUGGAUGAGUUGCGAACGGGUGAGUAACGCGUAGGUAACCUGCCUGGUAGCGGGGGAUAACUAUUGGAAACGAUAGCUAAUACCGCAUGACAACAGUUAUUGCAUGAUAACUGUUUAAAAGGGGCAACUGCUCCACUACCAGAUGGACCUGCGUUGUAUUAGCUAGUUGGUGAGGUAACGGCUCACCAAGGCGACGAUACAUAGCCGACCUGAGAGGGUGAUCGGCCACACUGGGACUGAGACACGGCCCAGACUCCUACGGGAGGCAGCAGUAGGGAAUCUUCGGCAAUGGACGGAAGUCUGACCGAGCAACGCCGCGUGAGUGAAGAAGGUUUUCGGAUCGUAAAGCUCUGUUGUAAGAGAAGAACGAGUGUGAGAGUGGAAAGUUCACACUGUGACGGUAUCUUAACAGAAAGGGACGGCUAACUACGUG